rnacentral:lncRNA from 10 species
GGGGCCUCAGUUUUUCCUCUGUAAAAAUAAAGGGCAAGGUAGGCAUACCUCAUCAGCAGCAUGCCUCUGCUUCAGGGGAACAGGUUGACGGCAGUUCUGCGGUCAUCAACACAGGACUUUCAAGAUCACCUAGGCAUCAUUUUCACCCAGGGAAGCUGGAAGCAGGGAAAAGGGGAAGGAGCAUAUUUGAGAGGCUUUUGGAAGUCAGACCAGGAGAUGGGACACGACUUCCACUCACAUUCCAUCAGCUGGUACUCAGGCACAGAGACACAGCCAUCUGCAAGAAGCUGAGAGAUAUAACCUGCCCGAGUGCCCAGAAGAAAGGAACCCAGAAUUUGGAGAAUACCUAGCAAUCUCUGCCAAGGGUCAUGUUUCUGUAAUCAUUUCUU